CACGCCGUAAACGAUGGAUGCUAGCCGUUGGGGAGCUUGCUCUUCAGUGGCGCAGCUAACGCUUUAAGCAUCCCGCCUGGGGAGUNCGCGCAGAACCUUACCAGCUUUUGACAUGUCCGGUAUGGUCGACAGAGAUGUCUUCCUUCCCGCAAGGGGCCGGAACACAGGUGC
rnacentral:rRNA from 1 species